UCGCUAGUAAUCGCAGAUCAGAAUGCUGCGGUGAAUACGUUCCCGGGUCUUGUACACACCGCCCGUCACACCAUGGGAGUCGGAAAUGCCCGAAGCCGGUGACCCAACCAAAAGGAGGGAGCCGUCGAAGGCAGGUCUGAUAACUGGGGUGAAGUCGUAACAAGGUACC
rnacentral:rRNA from 1 species